GAUUGAUCUGUUGAGAGUGGAUAUUAGUGACUGACCGUGACUGAAGUCCACAUAUGGCCAUCGAUACAGUAGGCUCGAAAAAAAAAACGCGCGCAGACAGAAAGCCCAACACACAUCCGGGAAGUGCGGUAGCGGAAAAGUAUCACAGGCUGCGCUGAUGACUUCUUGAUGCAUAACGCGCGAUGAAAAAAACCCAUCAUCUUCGGCAGGCAUCUCGGUUGGGUCAAAGCUUUGAAAAACCUCCUUCCGAUCCGAGUGGAUCAAAUUUGUUUGGAACUAUUUUUUUUUUGUACUGUGCAAACUCAUUUCGGCACUGACGAUCUAUUGCAUCCAAUGACCUCUAACAUAUUUGGAUACGAUUUCCAAUAACCUUAUGGGGUUCGCAUUUCGUUCACAGGGUAGACGGAAUUCCAUUAGUCACCAGAAUGUUUGGAAUAUUUUGUUACGAUCAGCUAUUGCAAUCGAUUUCAAGAGAAGCAUACAUUUUUACAACUCUUAUGUGUUAGGUUCUUAAUCA